rnacentral:rRNA from 1 species
GCACUAAUCCUACCAGGGGAACCUGGCCCUUAAUUCGAUGAUCCACGAUUGUUUUCUACCUGUCCUCGUUAGGUUUUGCCUUAGGCGGACCUAGGUCAGCUUGCAUACCGCCGUUGUUCAGCCUAUACCGCGAGGAGAAAAAAAUGGGCGGCGCAGGAGAUUUUAAGCUCCUACUAAUUCAGGUAAACGUGCAGCUUAUGGAGAGGGGCCGCUGGGUUACAUUAUGUGUUUUUGUGGAUCCUAAGUUAAGCGAAGGUGAAAGAGGACUUGGAAGUAAUGAUUGUCAAAAGAGUCGUGAAUAGAGCUCUAGUGUGUGU